rnacentral:rRNA from 1 species
UUAGGAAUUGCAUUCGAUACUGGAAAGCUAGAGUAUGGGAGAGGAUGGUAGAAUUCCAGGUGUAGCGGUGAAAUGCGUAGAGAUCUGGAGGAAUACCGAUGGCGAAGGCAGCCAUCUGGCCUAAUACUGACGCUGAGGUACGAAAGCAUGGGGAGCAAACAGGAUUAGAUACCCUGGUAGUCCAUGCCGUAAACGAUGUCUACUAGCCGUUGGGGCCUUUGAGGCUUUAGUGGCGCAGCUAACGCGAUAAGUAGACCGCCUGGGGAGUACGGUCGCAAGACUAAAACUCAAAUGAAUUGACGGGGGCCCGCACAAGCGGUGGAGCAUGUGGUUUAAUUCGAUGCAACGCGAAGAACCUUACCUGGCCUUGACAUACUAAGAACUUUCCAGAGAUGGAUUGGUGCCUUCGGGAACUUAGAUACAGGUGCUGCAUGGCUGUCGUCAGCUCGUGUCGUGAGAUGUUGGGUUAAGUCCCGCAACGAGCGCAACCCUUUUCCUUAUUUGCCAGCGGGUCAUGCCGGGAACUUUAAGGAUACUGCCAGUGACAAACUGGAGGAAGGCGGGGACGACGUCAAGUCAUCAUGGCCCUUACGGCCAGGGCUACACACGUGCUACAAUGGUCGGUACAAAGGGUUGCUACCUCGCGAGAGGAUGCUAAUCUCAAAAAGCCGAUCGUAGUCCGGAUCGCAGUCUGCAACUCGACUGCGUGAAGUCGGAAUCGCUAGUAAUCGCGGAUCAGAAUGCCGCGGUGAAUACGUUCCCGGGCCUUGUACACACCGCCCGUCACACCAUGGGAGUUUGUUGCACCAGAAGUAGGUAGUCUAACCGCAAGGAG